CACUUUUAAGAGGAACUGUUUGGCUUCCCGGGGAUAAUGUGUCUGUGAAGCAUGGGAGACUUUCUGGACUCGUUGAACUUUCGGAGGCAGCCCAGCAAGGUGUGAAAUCCUGCAUCACUUGAACUUCUCCUGCUACGUGUGCUGGGUAUGUUGGAAGAAAAAAAUUGAAAGAGCUAAAACCAAGGAGACACGACAUCAGACCUGAAAUUUUAGUUACCAUCGCUUGAACAUAUAAAAUGGACCCAGGGCCGAUGAACCAUGGCAGGGUUUAAUUCUUCAGCGCUGGAUGAUGCAGGAAUCCAGAGGCCUGAAUUCAAGCCUGAUUUGAACAGGCCAGUGCAUCUUUAGUUUUUUGCAUAAGUCAAUUAGCACCCCGUAUCAAUUUGUGCUGAUUCCCCAGUCUCUGCAACUUUUCCAGGCCUCUUAUGCAAAUGGGGCCUGGAAGCAAACAAGUGAGUGACCCAGAAGGCUGGUACGGGGCUGGGCACCAUUGUUCUCAGGCCAGGAAUUUCAGUGCUCCAUUUGUUCAUGGAGUAAGUUAAAAAAAAAUGAGAAGCCACAAGGAUAACUACCUCCUCAGGCUUAAUUAUUGUACCCUUUGUACUGUUCUUCCCAGGGUAGAAAAAGAGGCAUUCAUGGUCCUCUCACUGCAUUUAGAUUCACUGGGUUGUUUUUCACUGUAAAUAUAGAGGAAGAACACUGAAACUGGAAUGGCAAGAGGUUUUAAAGUCAACCCCUCUUUGUAGUCGCAAACUGUGCCAUGAAAUCAGUUUGGUAACAUUUAUCCUGGUGAUCUGGUAAAUGACUUAAAAAUGCAGCACAUUUAGGAGUUGAAUUAGGGUCCUUCAAAUGAAGAUUCAUUCCUGGAAAAUUUAGUUAGACCACACCUGUUAAUUUAAAACUAUCUGAGUGAAAAGGGGCUCAAGCUGCAAAACUCAGGCAGAUUUCUGACACCGUAGCUGUUCAAGGAUGGAUGCAUCCUUGGGGUUGGUGCA